ensembl:miRNA gga-mir-3535 gga-mir-3535
UGCUGGAUAUGAUGACUGAUUAUCUGAAAUGCUGAUGAAACCACUUCUAAAGUCCUCUAGAUAGUCAAGUGCUGAUCCAGCA